UGGCAGUGUAUUGUUAGCUGGUUGAAUAUGUGAAUGGCAUCAGCUAACAUGCAACUGCUGUC
rnacentral:pre_miRNA from 1 species